CCGCGUAGCUCAGUUGGAAGAGCAUUGGGCUAGUAUUCCAAAGGUCGUAGGUUCGAAUCCCACCGUGGUCG
rnacentral:tRNA from 1 species